AUCCAACUGACGAAUCCAAAACAGGACGAAACUUGCGUCCUGGAU
rnacentral:hammerhead_ribozyme from 1 species